rnacentral:lncRNA from 1 species
CGUUCUGCACCUAUUAUCAUUUGCAUACCUUGCUAUCACAAAAUUCACCAUCUUCCCUACCUUUUCCAUCCCUUGACCUCCUCCCGCAUCUGGCCGGCCGCCGCCAUCCCUCGGCUUCCUUAGGUUCUCUCUUGCACCGCCGCCUCCCGUAAUAGAUCCAGGUACCAGCAUCCUCAUUUUAGGUAGUUGACGCCUAAAGGUUCUAUCAUUCAGUGAACAUCAUCGCCAGGCUAUAGUAUCCCCUCCUCAUGCGAUUCCACCUUCACCACCUCCACCCUUAGUUCUAGCAUCGAAAAUAUGAAUCCAAGACCAGGAUACUACUCACGAAGUGUGUUGGCCUACAUAGAUCUUGAUAUGAAAUUGAUGGCGAGAGGUAAUCGACUUUCCGCUUCACGAAUAGGUAUGGCACCAUGCAACCUUAGAUCUUGUCAGCCCUUGCCUUCCCUCGACUUCCCUCGUCCAUUUAGAUCUUCCCAUAUCUAGUUAAGCAUCUUCCAUCUCUCGAUCUCCUUUGGUUCUCUCUUGCAUCGUCACCUUCCAUCAUAGAUCCAGGUAGCGAUAUACCACACUUCGGGUAGUUGACACCCUUAAGGUUCUAUUAUUCGACAAAGAUCGUCACAUACUCAUAACACAUGUCGACCACAUGCUACCAUGUUUCUCACAUCAACAACCUUGCUUCUAGCCACCGAGAACCUAGAUCCCCGAGUCGCCAUAACAUUAGGAGUAGGCUGACUUAUGCAGAUCUGGAUGUGGAUCCGGAGAGAACUCAUAUCCGACUUUCCCCUUCGGCAGCAAAUAUGUUUUUUGAUCUUCCAUUAAUUCUUUACCAUAUCAAAAAUUCCCUUGGUCGCCAUAGCAUUAGGAGUCGGCUAACCUACGCAGAUUUGGAUGUGGAUCCGGUGAGAACUCAUAUCCGACUUCCCCCUUCGGCAAUAGGUAUUUUUCAAUCUUUAAUAACUUUUUAUCAUAUAGAAUAUUCCCUUGGUCGCCAUAACAUUAGGAGUCAUCCUGAUCUAUGCAGAUUAGGAUGUGGAUCCGGUGAGAACUCAUAUCCGAUUUCCCCCUUCAGUAAUAGGUAUUCUUUUGAUCUUUCGUUAAUUCUUUACCAUAUCAAAAAUUCCCUUGGUCACCAUAACAUUAUAAGUCGGCUGACCUAUGCAGAUCUGAUGUGGAUCCGGUGAGAACUCAUAUCCGACUUUCCCCUUCGGCAGCAGGUAUUUUUUCGAUCUUUAGUUAAUUCUUUACCAUAUCGAAAAUAAUUUAACUUUUUUAUUCUACUGCAACUGCCCACAGAAAGGGAAAGAGCCCCAAACACAUUCAUAACAUUCACUAGCUACCCUUGAAAUCAGCACAUAAAGCUACUUCUACCUCCAUCCAAUUCAAACAGCACCAGUACAAAACUACAAUUCAUACAAAAUCAGUUCACUUUUCAUAUUUCUUUUUCAAAAAGGAGGACCACCCCCGGCCUUCCAGUGUCACAUGGAAUCCAUUUUGAUACAAAAGUACUAAUCGGAUGCCGUGCAAAACACCGUCCGUCGCCCUCGGCCUCUCACCCAGGCCGCCAGUGAGAGGCCGAGGAAACUAUGUUAGUGGUGUGGAAACUAUGUUAG